rnacentral:tRNA from 1 species
GGCAAGAUGGCCGAGCGGUCUAAGGCGCUAGACUCAAGAGCAGAUCUUAGGGUCCUCUUAUAUCCUCCCAAAGGGUAAACAUUUCUAGUCUCGAAAGAGGCGGGGGUUCGAAUCCCCCUCUUGUCA